GACGUACGCUGGCGGCGUGCUUAACACAUGCAAGUCGAACGGAAAGGCCCUGCUUUUGUGGGGUGCUCGAGUGGCGAACGGGUGAGUAACACGUGAGUAACCUGCCCUUGACUUUGGGAUAACUUCAGGAAACUGGGGCUAAUACCGGAUAGGAGCUCCUGCUGCAUGGUGGGGGUUGGAAAGUUUCGGCGGGUGGGGAUGGACUCGCGGCUUAUCAGCUUGUUGGUGGGGUAGUGGAUUACCAAGGCUUUGACGGGUAGCCGGCCUGAGAGGGUGACCGGCCACCUUGGGACUGCGAUACGGCCCAGACUCCUACGGGAGGCAGCAGUGGGGAAUCUUGCACAAUGGGCGGAAGCCUGAUGCAGCAACGCCGCGUUCGGGAUGACGGCCUUCGGGUUGUAAACCGCUUUCGCCUGUGACGAAGCGUGAGUGACGGUAAUGGGUAAAGAAGCACCGGCUAACUACGUG
rnacentral:rRNA from 1 species